CUCGCUCCCGAGACGCCUUUCUCUCCUCUAAUGUCACUUUCGAAAAUCCGUUGUUUUCUUCACAGAAUGGACUUUUUAAGACGAGAAGUGAGUAUCCUGCUGAAUCAGAUGCAUCACUCUUGUGCAUGGUGUUCUAAAUUCAGGUUGGACAUUGGCCGGCCUGAAGUUGGGUUCUGACGUCAACCCGAUUUUCAUUUCUAAAGAAAAUCCAACGUCCCCAUGACCUUGGUGCACGUUGGGGUACAACGUCAAUAUGACGUCAUGUUGACAUCCAGUGCCUGCAGGGUUAAGUAUGUUUAGCAAGAAAAUGCUAUUCAGCCCUCCUUGUUUCAAACUUUGACUUUAAAUCAUUGUGUUUUUUGUCAUUUCAUCACAAGCUAUUAGCAUAUUUCUUAAAUGUAGAAGCGAUUUCUGAUUGGCAAAAGUUUCUGCACCAAAUUCAUCUACAGAGAGAUUAUAUGCAUUCCAGUCUGUCUAUAAUCCCAAUACACUUCACAUUUCCUCCCUUUAAGCAAACUCAAAGCUAUAAAACAAUUAUCACGAGGUUGCUACAUAUUUAUCUCAUUUACAAAGCUCUUUCUUCCAUUAUGGCUAAAAGUAAACGCUAUGGCAUCGGCAGCGAGAGCAUUGUUGAAAAGCCACAGUUGUGUUUGUCCCUCCAGACUCUCCAUACACACACAGAAGCUCUUCAGGGGGUUGUUAGCUGUGAGUUUAGCCACCACAAGCGCUCCAGCUCAUGCACUAAUUAUUUUCAUAGUCAGCCGGGUGUGCAGAGCUGGCCUGCAAGUUGUGCAAAUGCUUAUUUAAGCUGUGUAACUGACAUCCAUAUGGUUUUUAUCACCAUGAAGGAACGUUUGAACUGCUUGUGUUUUCAUGCGGCCAAGGCUCUGACCUGUCUGUCAGAAACACUCAUAUGUGUUGCGUCUCUGGGAAAUUCUAUGCCAUAAUGUUCUGAAUCAGUGUGUUUUUUUUCCUUACUGAGUCAAUGCUGUACUCAAAAUGUUAAAAAACUCAACCACCGUUGGUAUUUCUAGUCUAGUGUCUUUUUUAAUUAGUAUUAUCAUUUUUUUAUACUUUACAUUUUUGGAAUGAUUUAAUAUUUUUUUUAAUUGAUGUUUUCUAAAACAUGAGACUGUGAUGUUUAUUUGGUACACCGUAAAACCCAACAGUCAACUUUAUCAAAUGAAAUGAGUGUAGUUAACUCAAAAUUGACUGUAAGUUAAUUCUACUCAUUUGAAAAGAGUUUUGAACUCAGUGUUAAAGGUAAUGAGUUAAUUAAAUACCUCAUUACUUCAACUUAAAUGGAUUAAGUUCGCAGUACUCAUAUAGAUAAGUUUUUAACUCAAAUGGUUUGUAGCAAUCUGUUUCCUUAAACGGUUUGAGUUGCGUUAACCUAUUGGGUUUUACAGUACUCAGUUGGUUUGAAUUCUCUUAAUUUAUUGGGUUUUACUGUGCUAAAAUUGCUUCGUUUCCUCAAAUGGAUUACAUUCACAGUACUCAUUAGGAUUCAUUUUUGAGCUUAAAUGGUUUUUGGCAAUCAGUUUCCUCAAAUGGUUUGAGUUAGCUUAAGUUUUUGGGUUUUGCAGUGUAACUAUAUAAGAAAGAGUUAAGGUUGUGUUUUGGAUCAAAUACAUGUUACACUCUCAGAAAUAAAGGUACACGAGCUG